rnacentral:misc_RNA from 1 species
GUCACGUGUUUUUGGAGAUUGUGACAAGCUGAUGUCAGAGAUAAUGCGGAAUGUUCUUCCUAAAGAAGAACUACAAGAAUGGGAAGGCGGACGCGAGGAAAGACUUACUGCUUACGAUCUAAAACGAAAACUGUAGAAUCACGUGUCCAUGUUUAAUUGUUUUCUGGGUGUUUUUUUGUAUUGCACAUGGUAGUACUGACAAAGUACAACUAACAGUGUACUGCUUUACAUACCCGUGUUUGAUUAGAAUACUCAUAGUUACACUCGGAGAGAAUUCAGACACGUGUACUUACUGAUAUUUGUUUGUUAUAAAAUGACCUUUGUAGAAGUGCUGAUAUGAAGGUAUUACUAUAUUUUUCCCGAAAAGACCAAAUAGAGUCCUACUGAUAAAUUCUUAAAAUGAAAGAGAGAGAGAGAGAGAGAGAGAGAGAGAGAGAGAGAAAUGGAUGUCAUUUUGAAAUCUUCGUCAUCACGCCUAGUGUUCAUUAUUAUUUUCAGCAAAACUUGGUUGUAUUAAUUUAGCUAUAUUUUAACUACGAAUGUGAAAUAAUUGAUAAAAGACCGUUUUGUCAAAUACGCUCUGUAUUGAAGAUCGAAUUAUAUAUUAAUUAAAUGCAAUUUCUAU